rnacentral:rRNA from 1 species
CAGUGCCACGGUAAUACGUAGGGUGCGAGCGUUAAUCGGAAUUACUGGGCGUAAAGCGUGCGCAGGCGGUUAUGUAAGACAGGUGUGAAAUCCCCGGGCUUAACCUGGGAACUGCGCUUGUGACUGCACAGCUAGAGUAUGGCAGAGGGGGGUGGAAUUCCACGUGUAGCAGUGAAAUGCGUAGAGAUGUGGAGGAACACCGAUGGCGAAGGCAGCCCCUGGGCCAAUACUGACGCUCAUGCACGAAAGCGUGGGGAGCAAAUGGGAUUAGAUACCCCCGUAGUCCCUGUCUCUUAUACAC